rnacentral:rRNA from 1 species
UACGUAGGGGGCAAGCGUUGUCCGGAAUCAUUGGGCGUAAAGAGCGUGUAGGCGGCUUGGUAAGUCCGCUGUGAAAGUCCAGGGCUCAACCCUGGAAUGCCGGUGGAAACUGUCAAGCUUGAGUCCGGAAGAGGCGAGUGGAAUUCCUGGUGUAGCGGUGAAAUGCGCAGAUAUCAGGAGGAACACCGGUGGCGAAGGCGGGUCUCUGGGCAAUAACUGACGCUGAGGAGCGAAAGCGUGGGGAGCGAACAGG